CCUACGGGCGGCAGCAGUGAGGAAUAUUGGUCAAUGGACGAGAGUCUGAACCAGCCAAGUAGCGUGAAGGAUGACUGCCCUAUGGGUUGUAAACUUCUUUUAUAUGGGAAUAAAACAGGGUAUGCAUACCCUCUUGUAUGUACCAUAUGAAUAAGGAUCGGCUAACUCCGUGCCAGCAGCCGCGGUAAUACGGAGGAUCCGAGCGUUAUCCGGAUUUAUGGGGUUUAAAGGGAGCGUAGGUGGAUUGUUAAGUCAGGUGGGAAAGUUUGCGGCUCAACCGUAAAAUUGCAGUUGAAACUGGCAGUCUUGAGUACAGUAGAGGUGGGCGGAAUUCGUGGUGUAGCGGUGAAAUGCUUAGAUAUCACGAAGAACUCCGAUUGCGAAGGCAGCUCACUGGACUGCAACUGACACUGAUGCUCGAAAGUGUGGGUAUCAAACAGGAUUAGAUACCCGAGUAGUC
rnacentral:rRNA from 1 species